rnacentral:rRNA from 1 species
AGGGGAGUGGCAGACGGGUGAGUAACACGUGGGAACCUUCCCUAUAGUACGGAAUAGCCCAGGGAAACUUGGAGUAAUACCGUAUACGCCCGCAAGGGGAAAGAAUUUCGCUAUAGGAUGGGCCCGCGUAGGAUUAGCUAGUUGGUAGGGUAACGGCCUACCAAGGCGACGAUCCGUAGCUGGUCUGAGAGGACGACCAGCCACACUGGGACUGAGACACGGCCCAGACUCCUACGGGAGGCAGCAGUGGGGAAUAUUGGACAAUGGGGGAAACCCUGAUCCAGCGACGCCGCGUGUGUGAAGAAGGCCUGCGGGUUGUAAAGCACUUUUAGUGGGGAUGAAAAGCUCAGGGCUAACACCUCUGAGUCUUGACCUAACCCACAGAAAAAGCACCGGCUAACUCUGUG